rnacentral:lncRNA from 1 species
UGCGGCCCCAUCACUCCCUGGCGGGUCGCAGUAACGGCCAGGACUCUGUUCCACUUCCUGCGAUGGAUUCUGCGUGGCUCCAUUACUCCCUAACAGACCGCAAUGAUGCCCAUGAUCCUGCUUCACUUCCUGCGAUGGAUACCGUGCGAUUCUUCCAUCCUCUGGCAAGUCACGACAAUGGACGCCACUCCACUCCCCGCAACAGAUUCCACGUGGCAUGUCCCAGUGGUAGCCAUGAUUCCACUCC